rnacentral:rRNA from 1 species
GACGAACGCUGGCGGCGUGCUUAACACAUGCAAGUCGAACGGAAAGGCCCUGCUUGCAGGGUACUCGAGUGGCGAACGGGUGAGUAACACGUGGGUGAUCUGCCCUGCACUUCGGGAUAAGCCUGGGAAACUGGGUCUAAUACCGGAUAGGAGCCAUUUUUAGUGUGAUGGUUGGAAAGUUUUUUCGGUGUAGGAUGAGCUCGCGGCCUAUCAGCUUGUUGGUGGGGUAAUGGCCUACCGAGGCGGCGACGGGUAGCCGGCCUGAGAGGGUGGACGGCCACAUUGGGACUGAGAUACGGCCCAGACUCCUACGGGAGGCAGCAGUGGGGAAUAUUGCACAAUGGGCGCAAGCCUGAUGCAGCGACGCCGCGUGGGGGAUGACGGCCUUCGGGUUGUAAACUCCUUUCGCUAGGGACGAAGCUUUUUGUGACGGUACCUAGAGAAGAAGCACCGGCUAACUACGUG